GACAAAUUAUACCUUAGCAUUUAUUAACAAAAAUAUCAAAGUAGAAAAUUAUUCACAGAUUUACUGAUACAAAUUUAUUUCAGUCAAAAGCUAAAUAUAAUCAGAUGAAAAAUAGGAGGUCACAUUUUACAAAUCUUUAUGCUAGAGUUAAUCUAUUCAUCUGGAUGAAGCCAACAACUAUGAAAUGAUUUUACAAUGAGAGUGACAAACAGGACAUUCCUACAGGCUACUAACGGUGAAACAUGUAUCCAAGCUAUCAACUGACCUGUAUAGUUUACAUGUCUGUAUGCAUGUUCACAUUGUACAACCAUUUUUGUACACUGUCAUGACUGUAUAACAAUUUUAGAUGUACAUAACACUUUGUAAGAUGUUACACAUACAACAAAUCUAGCUGUUAGAAAUGAACUAGGAAGUUCUGCCAUUAGAAACUUUCAUAAAAACCCA
rnacentral:lncRNA from 1 species